rnacentral:tRNA from 1 species
GCCGGGGUGUUGGAACUGGCAGACAAUAUGGACUUAAAAUCCAUUGACCCUAAAGGUCGUGUGGGUUCAAAUCCCACCCCCGGCACCA